rnacentral:rRNA from 1 species
UACGUAGGGUGCGAGCGUUAAUCGGAAUUACUGGGCGUAAAGGGCGCGUAGGCGGCCGAUCAAGUCAGGCGUGAAAUUCCCGGGCUCAACCUGGGGGCUGCGCUUGAUACUGAUUGGCUUGAAUGCGGGAGAGGAUAGUGGAAUUCCCAGUGUAGAGGUGAAAUUCGUAGAUAUUGGGAAGAACACCAGUGGCGAAGGCGG